ensembl:snRNA U1 U1 spliceosomal RNA
UUACUUAGCUGGUAGGGAAGAUACCAGGAUCAAGAAGGUGGUUUUCCCAGGGUGAGUUUAUCCAUUGCACUCACGAUGUGCUGACUCCUGCGAUUUCCCCAAAUGUGGGAAACGCCCCUGUAAAAAAGAAAGAGAGACAGAAAGACCAUUUGUCUCUUCUUC